rnacentral:rRNA from 1 species
UACAGAGGUCUCAACCGUUGUUCGGAUUCAUUGGGCGUAAAGGGUGCGUAGGCAGUCGUGCAAGUCGGAUGUGAAAUCUCAGGGCUCAACCCUGAAACUGCAUUCGAUACUGCGUGGCUAGAGUGCUGGAGAGGAGACUGGAAUUUACGGUGUAGCAGUGAAAUGCGUAGAUAUCGUAAGGAAGACCAGUGGCGAAGGCGAGUCUCUGGACAGCAACUGACGCUGAGGCACGAAGGCCAGGGGAGCAAACGGG